AGUACACCUGUGGGUACGUAAAUUUCUAUUAGAUUGUAACUUACGAAAUAUCCUAUUUUGUUAUCCACAGCUGCAGUUUAUCAAGCUUACAGUAGGAGCUUUCUAGUCAGCAACCUUGACCUCUGGUGCGGCUGCAAGGACUUCCGUCGUAGUGGCCAAUUCAUCCUGAAAAGCAUCCCCAUCGGUCGCAGUAUUUUGGUGGUGCCUUCCGUUCCGUUCGCUGGAACAACCGGAACUGCUAGUUUUGCCGGUUCCAUCUUAACUGCGUCUUCAGAAACGGAAUCGGCGCUGCUCUUCUUGGUUUGUUCAGCACCUUUUUCAUGGAGUUCAUGAUGAUCCGGAUGGCGAAGGAGGUCGAAUCAAUUUUCGACAAGAGCAAACGCUUUCAGGGCCUGAUGACAAAACCACUGGUCAAGGUGGACGACUUUGUUCUGCUUAAGUUCUACACGAUCGCGUUCGCUGUUUGUGUUCCUCAGCUACGCCAAGUGGUGAUACAUGUACAAGGUGGUCAACUUCUCCGUUCCCAACGUGACCGUUCCGGCAGCGCCGGUCAAACCGAUGCAAAAAAAACGGAAUAAGCAUCACUCACUAGAAAAGCAUACUAAGUCACAACAAAUUUUCGGGAAAAUCCUCACAUUUACACGCUUAUGAUAGAUACGGUAAUUCAUUCAGUGUUUACACGGUUUAACCUACAAUUAUAAGUAAAAAAUGAGUACUUUUCUAUAACCGUGCACGGAUUUUUCUAAUUCCCUUGCAACGUGUAGGAAUGAUUUGUUUUGAUUUUGCCAGAGUUUGACAGAGCACUUUUCAGUUGGCCGCCUACCACCCACCCGCCUGCUGCGAUUGCUUUUUUUUGUUUACGUGGGUGUCGGGUUUCUUUUUGAUUUUUCCUGAUGUUUAAUUUUUGUCAGUACAAGUAGUUUUGCAACCGUCGAAUUAAUUAUUCUUCUGCUUCUCCUGUCGCGCUUCACGGUAGUUUUUGUGUGAUUGUUGUUUGUGUCUGAAAAUCCGGGUAAUGAAGGAGCAAAUCCGGACAAAUGCGAUAACGUUGUAACCGUUGGUAAGAGGAACCUGAGCCUCAAGCCGCAUCUUAUCAGUAGUGGUAUCUGUGAGGGAGUUCCAAAUCAGCGUGGGCAAAAACAUUCUGGAGUCAGAAUCGGCUGGCUGGCUGUUUUGGUGUUGCUGUCGCUACCAGGUUUCACCGCGGCUCAGCUGGUAACCUCAAAUGUUCUGUAAAUCCUGCCUCAACAGUCAACCGUCGCCAUCUGGACGUAUUAUAUUCAAUCCGUUUCAUUUGAAACCGGCUAUAGUCGCGUUCCGGCGAACGGCCAACGUGUACGUGGCUGAUAACUCUGCUGCUCGAGGCUGUGGUCUAGGGAAAAGCUGGAGUUAUUGAUAACGCACAGCGCUGAAGCUUCCAAAAAACCGCAACGAAUCAUCUGGAUUAAGAUCAGACGACUAGGUCGUGUCGAUCUACUGCUGGACGCCGUAACUUGGUCUGCCAUUUAGUUGCUAUUGUCAGGUCAUCCGACGUUACAUGGCGGCUCCGAAGUGUUGCACUCUGUUAUGCUCGUUGCUUCAGCUCGCCCACGACGCCGAUCCAUUUGUCGGGGACUUGAGGUACUUGCAGAAAUGACUACACUUCUCAGUUGGUUUUAGUUCCACAGGUGAUUAUAGUAGUAUUUACUAAAUUAAAUACAAUUUCGGAAAUAAUAAUGUCUUUAGUUGCAGCUCUCGGUUUGAUGUUGACAAAAGUCCAAGGUUCUGAAUCAAGCAAAGCCGGCGUGGGAUUGCAUGCUUCAGCUGGUCAUCCGUGACCGCCUUUCGCACAAGUUUGUAAUUGGAGCACCUGGAGUGCAAACAGAUCAUGAUGGACAUCCUCGCCCAAAUGGGGUACGCACAUCUGCAACAGGUGGACGUGUCGGCUGAAGGCUUUCGUAUCAACUUAAUUCCAACAUUGUUUUCAUAAAUGUAAGCAUUCAAUGUUAUUUAUUUCUUUUAAAAUCCCGCAGAGCUAAAAUCACAAUCUACAUUCUCAGUGACCAGCACGUUUCGUGUUAUUUCAUAUCGCUCCGUUGAAUUUUAAAUCUGAUACUUAUUUUCUUGCUAUCAGCUCAUAGUAGUUUGGAAUGAUUUACUUUUGUGUCUUAAAAAGAUAACAAAAGUUCACCGUUUCAACCAACGUUGAGCUUCUGAAGCAUUUGAAAUUUACAUCAGAUUCAAAAUUCAACGGGGUAAAAAAAUUUUGGGAUUCGGUAAAAUUACAUCGAUUUCAUCGGAAAAUUACACGUUUCGGAAGCGAAGUUUGUUCGGCAAGUUUACGUCGGAUGGCAUUUAAAUUUACAAUGAAUUUGAUGUAAAUUAGCAUCAUUAAUGACGUGCACUUUUGGUACAUCAUAAAUGAUGUAAAUUUACCCGAUUUUUUUUUUCUGUGCACGUAAGCAAA